GCGGAAGCCUGAUCCAGCCAUGCCGCGUGUGUGAAGAAGGCCUUUUGGUUGUAAAGCACUUUAAGCGAGGAGGAGGCUACUGGUACUAAUACUACUGGAUAGUGGACGUUACUCGCAGAAUAAGCACCGGCUAACUCUGUGCCAGCAGCCGCGGUAAUA
rnacentral:rRNA from 1 species